rnacentral:misc_RNA from 1 species
CCGAGAGAAGAGCUGCCCCCUUUUCCUUUCCUCUCCCCUCGAGGAGGUGGAAGGGGGGUAAGCAACCCUUCUACACCCUUUCUGUGUACCUUUACCACGUUGCCUCCGUGGGGACCGGCGAGAGGCGCUGAGAAGCGCUUCGUUGCCUCUGAGGCGGGGGAGCCGUCCAGGCUUUCCCCCCAGCCUCCAGCCCACGGGGGGGUUACAACACAAACCAUUUGCUGUAGAACCGAUCGCAGUCUGUCUACCGCUUCCGCAAGGAAGAGGGGAAAAAACAAGUCA